ACCAGGUGUCUCCAGGGUCCAGGGUUAUGUCCUCCCCUCUGCAGAGAGUUAAGUAAAUCUCUCUGGAUUUGUCUCACUGUCUAUGCAGUUGCCAAUUAACUUGAAAAGCUUGUUCUUAGUCCAGGACCCCAAAUUUGAGUAAAAUUGGCUCAGAAAACCCCAACUGUGGAGGAACCCAAUAAUAUUUCCUUUGCAAUCCCGCAGUAAACAUAUUGCACAUGCCUUCUAGCUCUAAUCCUUUCCCCUUUCCUAUUUCACAGAGCUCAAGGAGGGCUUAUCAGGCUUUCUGGGUAUUCUGUGAGGCAUAAGCUCACUAGAAGGGCUGCAUCAAACUUACCUGGAACGAAUGGCAAGGACUCUUGACGUGUGUCUUUAACCCAUCUUGCCAAUUAGAUCAUGAAUCACUGCAGGUAGUGUCUUUUCUUGAGGUCUGCAGAAGCUUCAGGAUUUUUAACACACUUCUUUGACCACACUGGGCAGCAAAAUGUUUGUUUGUUGACUUUCUUUUUCUUUUUUAUGAGACAGAGCGUUGCUCUGUUG
rnacentral:lncRNA from 1 species